GACAGGCAUUAUGGAAGCUAAGAACCCUGUGGACAGAAGGGUUCUGACCCCACCCUCUGAUUAUGCUGAGUGCCCUGUGCCAACAUGGGUGUGGUUUUCAUAUCUGAGCUUCUCUCUCACUCCUAUUAGGUGAGGAUGACAGGUUGAGAGCCAGCCCGUCUGAUGGGGGCUGGUGGGUUGGGUGAGAAGAGAGAGGGAGCCGAAAGACUAGGGUAUGAUACUGAAAGGUGCCAGACACUUACACAGAAAGUGGCUGUGUCACCCAAAGGAGACUACUUAAAUGGGAAAAGACGGGCUGUCAAUCUGGAGGAUGAAUGACGCUCCCCACCAGCUCCCUCUGUUCUUCCCUCCUUCUUUUUGUGUCGGCUUAUUCAUUCGGAGCCUGCCCUAGGCGCGACACCUCUCAACUGCUCUGGCCCCAGGAGGAGGCCACACAGAGCUGCGUAUUGUUGCCCCAGUUCUGGGACCACCGGGGUGGAGCGAGGUGGGGAGCCUACCGAUGAUUGACAGCAGCCUGGGGUCAGGGCCUCGCGGGCCGCCCGGAAAAGAGGCCGUGUUCCUGGACCGCAGGAUCCAGCCACAGAACCCCCCCUCCACCUGGAAAGGAGCCCUUCCCCAACCUUCCUUCAGACCCAUGCAAUUAACAGCUCUUAAUUUCUGUUUGCAACGUGGUGUGUGUGAAUAAAGUCAUAGGAAAGAGGAUUUUAUUGGUAAAGUGAGAUUUUUGGCUUGAGAAAAAG
rnacentral:lncRNA from 1 species